rnacentral:rRNA from 1 species
UACGGGGGGCGCAAGCGUUGUUCGGAUUUACUGGGCGUAAAGGGCGCGUAGGCGGUCAGCACAGGUCAGUUGUGAAAUCUCCGGGCUUAACUCGGAAAGGUCAACUGAUACUGUGCGACUAGAGUGCAGAAGGGGCAACUGGAAUUCUCGGUGUAGCGGUGAAAUGCGUAGAUAUCGAGAGGAACACCUGCGGCGAAGGCGGGUUGCUGGGCUGACACUGACGCUGAACUGCGAAAGCUAGGGGAGCGAACGGG